UGGGGAAUCUUGGACAAUGGGCGCAAGCCUGAUCCAGCCAUGCCGCGUGUGUGAAGAAGGCCUGCGGGUUGUAAAGCACUUUCGGUGGGAACGAAAUAUGCCGGGCUAAUACCCCGGUAGGCUGACGUUACUCAAUGAAGAAGCACCGGCUAACUCUGUGCCAGCAGCCGCGGUAAUACAGAGGGUGCGAGCGUUGUCCGGAUUUACUGGGCGUAAAGAGCGCGCAGGCGGUCGAUCAAGUCGAGUGUGAAAGCCCCGGCUCAACUGGGGAGGGUCAUUCGAAACUGGUCGACUCGAAGGCAGGAGAGGGUAGUGGAAUUCCCGGUGUAGUGGUGAAAUGCGUAGAUAUCGGGAGGAACACCAGUGGCGAAGGCGACUACCUGGCCUGUUCUUGACGCUGAGGCGCGAAAGCUAGGGGAGCAAACGGGAUUAGAUACCCAUGUAGUCCCUGAGCGGGCUGGCAAGGCGCAU
rnacentral:rRNA from 1 species